UCUCCCAGGCUGCUGCUUUCUGGUGAUUCCUAGGGCAAAAUGUAUCGAUAUUUGUGGUUUCAAUUGGGAGUUAAUCUGAAGAGGACGACUGCCAUCACCAUCAAUGGAGAAUCUUCUUCUACAUCCUCAUUAGCACCACCACCAGCUAAGUAUUUUUCCAGAAUACAAAAUCAAAAUUCUAGGGUUGUUACUUCCACUUUCUCUUCCUUCUCUACUACUACUAGUGAUAAAACUAAGCUUACUUCUCCUGAUUCUGAUUCUGAAUUUAUAGUUUCUUAUUUGAUUAAUUCAUGUGGAUUGUCACAAGGUAAAGCAAUUACUGUUUCUAAAAAACUCAAAUUCAAAACCACAUCUAAUCCCGAUUCAGUCUUAACUUUACUUAGAGCUCACGGAUUUACUGAAUCCCACAUUACUAAACUAGUCACUAAGUUUCCAUUCAUCCUCUCAUUCAAACCAGAUAAAACCCUAAAACCUAGAUUUGAUUUUUUCAAAUCCAAAGGGUUUUAUGGAAUUGACCUUGCCAACUUCAUCUCAAAUGACCCUACAAUCCUGAGGCGUAGUUUAAAUAGAAGCGUAAUCCCAUCAUUUGGUAUUCUUAAGAGCAUUGUUAAGUCUGAUGAAUGCGUCGUUAAAAUAAUUAAACGAAAUUGUUGGAUUCUCGGUCCAAACGAAGUUAAAAAAGUGAUUGUCAACCUAGAGCUUUUGAGAAAUGAAGGUGUCCCUGAAACUAAUAUACGUACGGGAUUAAGCUCCCAACCAAGAGUAUAUACCCAGAGUGCCAAUAGAUUUAAAGAGAUUGUAGAAAGGGUUAAAGAAAUGAGGUUCCAUCACUUACAAACCAUAUUUCUUAAGGCUAUACAUGGAUUGACAUCAAUGACCGAAGCCAAUUGGAGAAAAAAGAUGGAUGUUUACAAGAGAUGGGGUUGGUCUGAAGAUCACAUUCGUACUGCAUUUAGGAAACAUCCUCAUUGUAUGGCGGCGUCCGAGAAGAAGAUUAUGGCGGUUAUGAAUUUUCUUGUGAACGAAAUGGGUUAUAAUACGUUAAGUAUUUCUGAAGCCUCAAAAGUUUUUUGCUAUAGCUUCAAGGGUAGGAUCAACCCUAGGUGUUCUGUUGUCAAGAUUUUAGUCUCCAAGGGUCUGAUUCAGAAAGAUUUUUGUAUUAAUUCAUUCAUAACAAUUGUGGACAAGUCUUUUCUGGAAAAAUUUGUGACAAAAUAUGAGCAAGAAGUUCCUGGACUAAUGAAGGUAUUCCAAUGUCAGCUGAAUUACCAAGACCUACUUUAAAACUGAAGGAUUCAGUUAGAUGAAUACACGUUAUGAAUAUCGGAAUGCUUCGUACGUUUGAAUAAAUUGAAGAAUAUAUGUCAUGGAGUACUAGUUCCGAAGAAAGUAUAUUUUGGCACGAAGAAAAGAAGUAUCUGUGGAACUGCAUACAUGGUCCAUUAAAUAUUUUUGUAGUUCCCUAUUACUCUUGUUCCUGCAUGAGUCAGGCAGGAACGAAUCUGAGCAGCAGAUUUUUAGUAACUGUAGGUUGUUGCUGGUGAAGCCAAUAUUGAUCUCAACACUUACUUCUUUAUGAAACCUUGGUAGGCAAGAAACUAAAACGAGACAAAGCCAAUGGCUCGUUUUCCUUUAAAAAAAAUGAUACUUUUAAAGAGAUACGGUUGGUUCGAAUAUCAUAUUCGUACAACAGCUAAGAAAAAUCUCAGAUUUAUUAGCAUUUCUAAUGAGAACAUUAUGGCGAUUAUGAACAUUAUUAGCAUCGCUGAACCCCAGUAGUUUUUAAUUGCCGAAUCCCCAGUAGAAGAGGCUUAUCCCAACUUGUUCUGUUAUCAGUAUUUCGGCCUCCAGAUGUCUGAUUAAGGAAAACACUCCUAUAAGUUCACUUUCAGUAAUGGUGGACAAGUCUUUUUUAAAACAGUAUGAGCUAAAGGUUUUUGAAGGAAUGGAGGUAUUCCAUGGUCAGCUGAAUUACCAGGACCCCUUGCAGAACUGAAGGAUUUGAUGAGCCGAAUAUGCAUUUCAGGGGAGUCAGAUACUCGCAGACAAAUUAGCAAAACAAGGGUGGUUGUUUUGGCAAGAGGUGAGAUGAUUACAGAAUUUAUUUAAUUGGCAAGUUUAGAGUAACCUCAUCAACAGUACUUUAAAUUCUGGGUUUUUUUUCUUGUUCCUCUGAUUUUACCCAAUUUACAAGGGUGGUUCUUUUGUGGGUGCCCUUUUUGGGGUUCCUUCAUUCAGUCGAUUUUUGCCAAUUUGGCUGGUCUUACUUAUUAAGUAUUAACAUUAUAAAUUUGUUUUUGAGAGGUGAUUUAAUCCAGGGACAGAGUUUGGUACAAAAAAAACUUGAGUGUCAAGGACGGGAUCCUUUUGGUUACUAAGUUAAUCAUGGGACUAACCGAGCAACUCUGGUCGUUGUAGUAUAAUAGUUCGUUGGGCCGACCGACCGGAGGGCCCGAAGGGCUCGUAGAGAGGGAGUCCCUUUUAUGGCCACUUUUCUUGUAAAUUGAAAUCUA